AUCUCGAAGGAUUGCGUCUCAUUUAUCACGCAAACCAAACUCAAAAUUGCGUCAAUAUAAGGACGCAUUCUCUUUUAUGUCACACAUGCGCAGUGGCCACUCUGCUGUCUGGAGCCCCCCUGACAUCUUUGUAGCCUAAUUUACUGAAAAAUAAGCCGUUAUUCAUGUUGCUCCACAUAACCGCGUAUUGCAACUUCAUAAUUAAAUCCCCACAACAAAAUACUGAGCUUAUGGGCUAUUUUAGUCACAUUUUAGUUCCUAGACAAAAGUCUGUUUUGCUAGGAUAUUAAUAAAAUAACAGAAACUGUUUUAUCCUAUACGAGAGCAUUUGUAGUAUUUGUCCAGAAGACUUUUGUGGCUGAAAACCAUUCAACCAGUAAGGUUUUUGAAAUAUUCAUUGUAAAUAACCCUGAUGUACCCCCACUGUUUAUGAUGAUGUCAUUUCAUCGCGACCUCCAUGCAUUGGAUUGUGGAUUUGAUUGUACUGCCUGCAGUCUGAUGUGGUUUGGCUGAGCUUUAUUCAUCAAUUGUUUUACGUCUCCAGUUUUCCCUGAGGUCCAAAAUAUUCAGUGGAGUGAAACUGUUGAUGGCAGCAAAAUGUAACAAGCUUGUCCUGGAGGACUGCUCUGAUGGGGAAUGCUGUGGAGGAGAGACAGGCAGACUGUGGUCCAUCGUGUGUGCUCCCAGUGCGUUAAUACACGGACAGUCCUUUUUAAGUGCAACCAGAGGAAUAAUGUGAUUGAGAGGAAGAGUGGCCCCAUACAUUGCUUGACCUGGAGCCUACCAAAGUCUAAGGUCUCAGGUGUCUCCAGAAGAACACAUCCCAAUGAAGACCCCAGUCAUAGUCAUCAACUUGACAGCUCAGCCUGUUACUUGAACUGUGUUCUUAGAGCCAAGUGUAACUGAGGUGUUUCCACACAGUCUGUCCCCCUUGGAUCUUGAACUUGCCACCACCUAGUCAACGCAUCGGUUCGGGUAUGGGAGGCACAGCACGAUACCGCUGAGCUAAAUGACCAGUCCCAUAGCUCAGCGCUGCUGGUACUGUAUGAGGCUUCGGGAGGGAGGUUUACUAUCCUUCCACGCCACACUCUGCUAGUUGGCCUCCGUUACACAAGCUCGAAUAAUCCAAGCAGUCAAUCCAACUUCUUCAGCACUGCCUUUGAACACUAUGAAGAACCACUCAGAACCACUGGUCCUAGAACUAAAUGACCACAUUAUACUGUUAAAGGUCCACUGUGUAGGAUGGUGAUCAGAGCAGGUAUUGCACCUGUGCUGCUCAUUGCAACUGUGCUACCUAUUGUCCAUUUUGACAUUUGAAUUUUCAAGAAUUUUACCAAGUAUUUACUAGUAUGUACCAAUAUUUACUAGUAUGACCAAAAUACAGUACAUUAUGCAACUAAAUUCAAGAUGGUGGACAAUGGACUCCUUUCAUGUUUUCAUGAAAAGUGUAAUUUUCCCAGUCAUAAUGAAUACUCAGAAUUUGAUGGUGGUAAGUAUUCUGAAAAAGGUUACAUUUGUGAAUGGCCUGAAUGAAUUCUGGAAAGAAACUGCUUAAAAAUAUUACACAGCGUACCUUUUAACAUUUCAUCUGUAGUAACAGAAUGUAGCGUUUCUCAGCUGCGACUCAAACCUAGACCCUCUUUCGUGGUGGUUGUUGUAAUGACACACUAAAAGCGAUAAUAUCUGCAUGAAGCUGCUCAGAAAGUGUCACUGGAUAUAUACCUUGAUAAAAGCAACAGAAUCUUCAAAGAAGAACAGAUACAAAAUGGGAUGCAUGCAUCAUGACAUUCCAACUGGUUGCAGUGAUAUUCAUGGAAAUGUCUAAUGCCUUUUCACCAUUAACUUAAACUUCUUUUAUGUUCUGUUCUUGUCUCUUUGUUAUGAUUGAAUUAGGAGUUUUAAUUUACACAAAAGCUGACACAUGUCCCACCUUUCUGUUAAGACUUGGUCCUAAGUGUUCUGAUUUGUUUGCUGUUUUAUACCUUGUGAAUAUUGAUGAUUUUUUAAUGAUUUUUUAAUAAACUGUUUUGAUCAUUA